AACGAACGCUAGCGGUGUGGAUUAGGCAUGCAAGUCGCGCGCGAAAGCCUUCGGGCGAGUAAAGCGGCGAAAGGGUGAGUAACACGUAACCAACGUACCCCUCAGACUGGGAUAACCACUGGAAACGGUGGAUAAUACCGGAUGGUCCACUGGGCAGCAUUGCCUGGCUGGUAAACGGCGGCCGCAAGGCGGUUGCUGAGGGAGCGGGUUGCGGCCUAUCAGCUUGUUGGUGAGGUAACGGCUCACCAAGGCUAUGACGGGUAACAGGUCUGAGAGGAUGAUCUGUCACACUGGGACUGAGGCACUGCCCAGACUCCUACGGGAGGCUGCAGUCGAGAAUCUUCCACAAUGGGCGAAAGCCUGAUGGAGCGACACCGCGUGCAGAAUGAAGGCCU
rnacentral:rRNA from 1 species